rnacentral:rRNA from 1 species
AGCUCCAAUAGCGUAUACUAAUGUUGUUGCAGUUAAAAGCUCGUAGUCGGAUUUCAGUAUGCUCAGGGUAGGUCCUUUUCGGUACCUGUCUGCGCUUACUUCUUUGACAGAAACUCUUAUGUUAUUCAUUUAGCGUGAGUAGCGACUGUCUCUUUUACUUUGAGAAAAUUAGAGUGUUCAAAGCAGGUACUUGCCUGAAUAUUACUCUUGGAAUAAUGCUAUAAGACUUUGGUUCUAAUGUAUUGGUGAUUGGGACCAGAGUAAUGAUUGAUAGGGACGGUUGGGGUCUUACGUACUGCAAAGCGAGAGGUGAAAUUCUUGGACCUUUGUAUGACGAACAACUGCGAAAGCAUUGGACUAGGACGUUCCCG